AACGAACGCUGGCGGCAUGCCUAACACAUGCAAGUCGAACGAAGUCUUCGGACUUAGUAGCGCACGGGUGAGUAACGCGUGGGAACCUGCCCUUCGGUACGGAAUAACGUCGGGAAACUGACGCUAAUACCGUAUAUGUCUCCGGAUGAAAGAUUUAUCGCCGGGGGAGGGGCCCGCGUCCGAUUAGCUAGUUGGUGAGG
rnacentral:rRNA from 1 species